rnacentral:rRNA from 1 species
AUACAGAGGGUGCAAGCGUUAUUCUGAAUUACUGGGCGUAAAGCGCGCGUAGGCGGAUGAUUAAGUCAGUUGUGAAAGCCCUGGGCUCAACCUAGGAACUGCAUCUGAUACUGGUCAUCUAGAGUUUAAGAGAGGGAAGUGGAAUUCCAGGUGUAGCAGUGAAAUGCGUAGAUAUCUGGAGGAACAUCAGUGGCGAAGGCGACUUCCUGGCUUAGAACUGACGCUGAGGUGCGAAAGCGUGGGUAGCGAACGGGAUUAGAAACCCUAGUAGUCC